rnacentral:rRNA from 1 species
GACGAACGCUGGCGGCGUGCUUAACACAUGCAAGUCGAACGGAAAGGCCCUGCUUUUGUGGGGUGCUCGAGUGGCGAACGGGUGAGUAACACGUGAGUAACCUGCCCUUGACUUUGGGAUAACUUCAGGAAACUGGGGCUAAUACCGGAUAUGAGCUCCUGCUGCAUGGUGUUGGUUGGAAAGUUUCGGCGGUUGGGGAUGGACUCGCGGCUUAUCAGCUUGUUUGUGAGGUAGUGGCUUACCAAGGCUUUGACGGGUAGCCGGCCUGAGAGGGUGACCGGGCACAAUGGGACUGAGAUACGGCCCAGACGCCUACGGGAGGCAGCAGUGGGGAAUAUUGCACAAUGGGCGGAAGCGUGAUGCAGCAACGCCGCGUGCGGGAUGACGGCCUUCGGGUUGUAAACCGCUGUGGAAUGUGACGAAGAGUGAGUGACGGUAAUGGGUAAAGAAGCACCGGCUAACUACGUG